rnacentral:rRNA from 1 species
AUACGGAGGAUGCGAGCGUUAUCCGGAUUUAUUGGGUUUAAAGGGAGCGUAGGCGGGAGCUUAAGUCAGCGGUUAAAUGGUGCGGCUCAACCGUGCCCUGCCGUUGAAACUGGGUUUCUUGAGAGUGCAAGAGGCGGAUGGAAUUCAUGGGGUAGCGGGGAAAUGCUUAGAUAUCAUGAAGAACUCCGAUUGCGAAGGCAGUCCGCUGGGGCACGUCUGACGCUGAUGCUCGAAGGUGCGGGAAUCAAACAGGAUUAGAUACCCUGGUAGUCCGCACGGUAAACGAUGAUUACCCGCUGUCGGCGGCAGACAGUCGGCGGCCAAGCGAAAGCGAUAAGUAAUCCACCUGGGGAGUACGCCGGCAACGGUGAAACUCAAAGGAAUUGACGGGG